AAAUAAACUCAUUGGACCCGGGGGCGGUACCCGGCGCCUCCACCAAAGUGUAAUAAGAAAAAAUUAUAUUUUGGUGGGGGCGAAAUAGGAUCGACAAGGGCGUAAAGAUUGCUCUUUUACUCGGCAUAGUACCACCGUUAUCGGACUAAAUGAGUAGUUGCAAAUGACAACUAUGCGGAAGCACGUCUCGCUGCUUAAUGCAGUGCGAAUGUUUCAAACUAAGCCUUAAACCGUCGCAGGUUUAAGCGGGGUUCGAAGG
rnacentral:tmRNA from 1 species